GGAGUUGUGGCUCAGUGGUAGAGCGCCUGCCUAGCAUGCAUGAAGCAAUGGGUUUGAUUCUCAGCACCA
rnacentral:tRNA from 1 species